UACAGAGGUGGCAAGCGUUGUUCGGAAUUACUGGGCGUAAAGGGCGCGUAGGCGGUUCGGUAAGUCCUGCGUGAAAUCCCUCGGCUCAACUGAGGAACUGCACGGGAGACUGCCGGGCUUGAGUUCGGGAGAGGGAAGCGGAAUUCCGGGUGUAGCGGUGAAAUGCGUAGAUAUCCGGAGGAACACCGGUGGCGAAGGCGGCUUCCUGGACCGACACUGACGCUGAGGCGCGAAAGCUAGGGGAGCAAACGGG
rnacentral:rRNA from 1 species